rnacentral:rRNA from 3 species
AAAUUGAAGAGUUUGAUCAUGGCUCAGAUUGAACGCUGGCGGCAGGCCUAACACAUGCAAGUCGAACGGUAACAGGAAGCAGCUUGCUGCUUCGCUGACGAGUGGCGGACGGGUGAGUAAUGUCUGGGAAAACUGCCUGAUGGAGGGGGAUAACUACUGGAAACGGUGGCUAAUACCGCAUAACGUCGCAAGACCAAAGAGGGGGACCUUCGGGCCUCUUGCCAUCAGAUGUGCCCAGAUGGGAUUAGCU